rnacentral:lncRNA from 1 species
UCUUGCUCCCAGACUAACACAAGGGAGGAGGCUGUUAGUGAUCCGGACAGCCGCAUGCUUUUUCCUGAAUGUUUUUGACUGGUCUCAAUCUACAGACAUGGAUAAGGCCUUAGGAUCUUGUUCAUGGGAAACCUGUGGCCAGUGGGGUCCACUGUCUUUCUUCUCCGUUAUGCAUAGCAGAUGCCCUUUCCUCCACGCUGUGGCUCUGCUGCCUUUCCACUUUCCAAACGAAACCAAGGCUGUGUCCGAGGAGGAGUUUGGUGAAGGUUUCGGUGACAUUGGAUACCUGCUGCUUAGACGUUCUGGUUUUAUCACUGAGAAUCCAGAAGAACCCUUGGGCCCUGGUUUUCUCUCUGAGUGGUUGAUUUCUCUAGCACAAGAGAAGCUGGCAGACAAAUUCACCGUAACGAGAUUAAGGUCUGAGUCCCACCCACCGUGUGACCGGAUUGGCUGUGUUGGGACAUAUUGAUGUUAGAGCUACAUGGUGUGAAACAGAUCAAAGUUUUGUUUUGUCUUCAUUCAAAAACUGUAAAAAGAAUUAUUUCAA